rnacentral:rRNA from 1 species
GUAGGGAAUAUUGGUAAUGGGCGAAAGCCUGAACCAGCAACGCCGCGUGUGCGAAGAAGGCCUUCGGGUUGUAAAGCACUUUUUAAGGGGAUGAGGAAGGACAGUACCCUUAGAAUAAGCCUCGGCUAACUACGUGCCAGCAGCCGCGGUAACACGUAGGAGGCAAGCGUUAUUCGGAUUUACUGGGCGUAAAGCGCGUGCAGGCGGUUUGGUAAGUUGGAUGUGAAAGCUCCCGGCCUAACUGGGAGAGGUCGUUCAAUACUACCAGACUAGAGGAUGGGAGAGGGAGGUGGAAUUCCGGGUGUAGUGGUGAAAUGCGUAGAUAUCCGGAGGAACACCAGUGGCGAAAGCGGCUUUCUGGACGACAACUGACGCUGAGGCGCGAAAGCCAGGGGAGCAAACGGGAUUAGAUACCCUUGUAGUCC